CUGUUAUUGGCUAGAAGACAAGAAGUUAACGUGGAGAUUUUUAACUAACAAGAAAAACUUGCAUAAGCAUGUGGAGGAGUGGAAUGAGGAUGAGAUCAACAAGAAGGCUGAAAGUAUCAAGAAACAUCUACAGUGUGCAAGAAAAUACUGCUCCAUUUGCUCAUAUUUAUAUCAGGAGGUGUCUGACGAGUGGAUCAGUGCAUCAUAAACUAAAAAUAAAUGGAAG
rnacentral:misc_RNA from 1 species